UCCCUGGUGGUUCAGAGAGUGAAGCGUCUGCCUGCAAUGCAGGAGACCCAGGUUCGAUCCCUGGGUCGGGAA
rfam:TPA: Bos taurus chromosome 10, whole genome shotgun sequence.